UGUCAGUUCCAAGGCAAGCACUUGUCUAUGCAAGGGCUUCAUCUCUGUUACACAUUUUCCAAAAGAGCGAUUUUUACUUUAUUUUGAAAUUUAAAAAAUGCUGUUUUCUGUCAUUAAGUGCAAACGACUGUGUUAGCAGCAGUGAAUAUUCUGGAAACUCUUGCAUUUCCCAUAGGCUUUUUAAUUAUGGGGCAGUUGCUUUCUUUCUUUCCCACCCCUCUGUUUCCUCCUCUGCAAGACCUAGUGCACAGAGAUCCCUAAGCUCAGGUAAUGACAUCUAAAGGUGUUAAUUUUCAGUCUCACAGUCUGUCCAACAUUACUUUUUUUUUAACUAUAAGGAGGAGAAAAGAAUCAAUUAUCAUUUUACCAUUUGAUGUUAAGGUGGUUGUAACUAUAUGUAAAGCUACUGCCAAUGUAAUGCUGCCUCGACUUGCUGCAGGUGCAGGUUGUUUGCUCAUUGCAGCUGAUCUGCCUUCACACGGCUGGAAUGGUAGUGAAGAAGUUGAGUCCCAGUGGCUAUGCAGACUGUAAGCUUAUUAGCAAAAAAAGAACAAAAGUAAUUAGAGCUUUGAUAUCCUUUCUUGACGUCGUGCAGCAGUGCGUUCUUUCCUCCUCCCAAUAAUGUGCCCCCUCCAACAAAACAACCAAUUUAAAUCAAUUUAUUAUUGGCUCUUUUGGUUGGAGAACCUUUUUUCCCUGGGCUUUCCAACUCACUGUGCAAACUUCUGUGUAAGCUUAAAAUAGAGAUCACCUCAACUGACACACGGACAUCUCUGAGGGGUGGAAUGGAGCAGCUGGUCAAACGUGUGCAGCACUUCAGUGUGCCCUGUGGAACUCAGUAGUUAAUGGAACUGGGGGCCGUUGCUGUAGGAUAUUGGUGCCUGGUGCCACCAAAUCAGAAGUGACUUUCAUUCAUUAUUAUCUCUUGCAUUUUGCAAACUCUUUUCGGUACAGCCUGCGUUGGGUUUGUUGAGCCCUCACAGAUUUAAAACCAAGUCAGUUCAGGCUGGGAGUGCCAAGUUCUGUAAUUGACAGCAGCAGUAAAUUCCUCGGUUCCCUUCUGCCACCUUAACAUUUCCCAAACACGGAGAGCACAAGGGGAGCAGCUCAGGCUUUUUUUCAAGUAGAGGGAGAGAAGGGCAGCGUGAGGAGUGGCAAAAAACACUGAAUUGAAGCAUUCUCAUUAACUAGGGCACAAAUGUCUACAUUCAACUGCAUUUAAUAUUUCACUUCCCCAACAGUGAGAUCCUGUUUGCUGAACGUGAAUGAUUCUUUGUGCCCACUGACAGAAGUUAGAAGUAGCACUUGACAUCUAACCAGUAUUUGUAAGCAUCUACAUCCUACCCUCAAGGAAGUAUGCAGCGCAUGCUAUCUGAAGACCAGGACUGCACUUGGAAUACAUCACCAUGUAAAUCUCAGGAGAGGAAAAGUAAGAAGAAAAGGAAACCCAUCUUUCCAGACUGUUAGAUUUGACCCUACAAGUCUGCAGAGGCAUGUUGCUGAUGGAUGCAAUGAUAGCCCAGUUAGUAAAUCAGCAUGGCGUGACCAGGUUUUCCAAAUUAUUUAUUUAUACAGAACCUCAGUAUAAAGAAGUGUUUUUUUUUAUUUUAUUUUACCCUAAUGUGAUAACCUCGCCCUAACAACUCCCUUUUCUUUCUCACUUACAUGAAAUGUAUGCUGGGUCCAUGACGUUCCCUGGCUGAGCCAAGCCAAAGCCAACCUGUCUUGACUGUUUCUAGUGCACAGUGUAAGCUCUGAUGCACAGCCUGCUGGAGCUAGUGGAACUCCUGUCACCUUCAGUGGGUUUUGGAUCAGGCCAUGAAGGGU